ACUCGAAUAGUUUAAUAAAAAUGUUGGUUUGUGGUGUCAGAGAUGUAUUUUUAUACUUCGAGUU
rnacentral:tRNA from 1 species